rnacentral:lncRNA from 1 species
UUACGGUGGCGGGCUCUUUGACUUCAGAAAUCUGACAGACGAAGCCACAUAGGCCGCAAGCCACUUCAGCAUAUUUGUUGCACUUGCCGGCAGCCACGGAAGUCAUAAAUGCGCAGUGUUUACACCCUACAGGCGUAAAUCCCGUAUUUAUUCGCUUAUAAAGAUGGACGACAUUUUGCGAUUUGCGACUUGCGACUUGCGACUUGCGA